AAACGGUAGAAUCAGACACUAUUGUGAGGCCGAGAAAGCCUGAAAAAGUGAGCCUUUUAUUCAUAAGGUGUAGGGUCUUUUUCCCAAAACACGCAUAAUUGUUUUGGUAGACAAAUCCACAGACCCACCAAACAUCCAACAAGGGUUUCAUCCUCUGUUCUCUGGGCGUCUUUCCUCCGUUUCUUGGGCCCUUUUUCUUUUCUGGGCCUUUGCCUAUUCUCGAUGGAGGUUCCGGAAAUGGGAGGCAAGACUGAAACCCAUUUGACAUCAGCAGCAGCCUUUGUGGAAGGGGGGAUUCAAGAAGCAUGUGAUGAUUCUUGUAGCAUAUGCCUUGAGAAUUUUAGCAAAAGUGAUCCUGCAACUGUCACUAAUUGCAAGCAUGACUUCCAUCUGCAGUGCAUUCUUGAAUGGUGUCAGAGAAGUUCUCAAUGCCCUAUGUGUUGGCAAGCUAUCAGCUUGAAGGAUGCUACCAGUCAAGAACUGCUCGAGGCAGUAGAGCAGGAGAGGAGCUUGAGGGAUAUCCCAUCCAGAAAUGCUUCAAUUUUUCAUCUUUCGCAGCUUGAAUUUCAGCAGUUACCAAUGCGUGAGUCUGAUAUUGAAGAGCGAAUCCUUCGACAUUUAGCUGCUGCAGCAUCAAUGAGGAGAGCACACCAUCUUGGUCGGAGGGAAAGUCAACGAACUAGGUCAUCUGGUCAUGGCAAUGCACACUCCUUAGUGUACUCAACUCAUCCUAGAGCACCUCCAUCAGCUACUGGAGCGGGAAAUGAACCAGCUGCAAUUCCUGCAGGAAAUCCAUCUUCUCCUCUUAUAUUUGAUGGAACACAACAAUCAUCACCACAGCAGAUGCCCCUAUUACAAACUCGGAGUUCUUCUUUUACUUCUGGCUCUACAGUCGCAACAACAAAUCUUCAAGGAGUUCACUCUAAUGAUGGAAGCUUUGCCUCUCAUUCCUUGCCUGCAAGCCAUGAUGAACCAGAGCCAUCAGAACAAUCAUUCUCAGAUUCUCUCCUUUCCAAAUUUAAUGCAGUAUCCAUGAGAUACAAAGAAUCAAUUUCAAAGGGCACAAGGGGAUGGAAGGAGAGGCUGUUCUCUCCUAAUUCUUCUGUGUCAGAACUUGGUUCUGAAGUUAGGAGAGAAUUGAAUGCCAAAAUUGCUAGUGUGUCCCGAUUGAUUGAGCGCCUCGAAACAGCAAGAGAAAAUAAGAGCGCUGCAGGCACUUCUGUAUCAAAUCAUUCCAUCGCAGAGACCAGCAACAACCAAAACAAUGCGGAAGUUCACGGAGAGAACUCUUUUCCUGGCAGUAAUACUUCUGCUACUUUUUCUGUUUCCCCAGAUUCAAAGUGAGCUCUAGUUUACUUCUGUGCAUGCAUCUUUGCUCAGCAUAUCAUGUUUGAAGGCAAAGCACUUGCUCAGAUAUGACAUGGUGAGGAAUAUAUGGUGAUGGAAGUUAUUGGCUGAGUAAGAAAAUAGGAUCUGAAGCAAAAGUUUAUGCUUUUAUGUAAAUAUAUUAUAUGCGGGGAACUGUAGGAAGUAAGUGUUUAAGGUAUAAACCAAGGGAGAAAGUGUUAUGAGAUUUCUCCAAUCUUAGGUAUAUUAUCAUAUAUGUUCAUAAUAUGUCCUUCAAAUUACUUUUUGGAGUCAAGGGAAAAAUAGAUAUCAAGAUGGCAACCUGAAUUCUUGGUGUUUCUGCUACUUUAAGCUAAAAGCUUUGUUUUGAAA